rnacentral:rRNA from 1 species
UAAACGACUCUCGGCAACGGAUAUCUCGGCUCUCACAUCGAUGAAGAACGUAGCGAAAUGCGAUACUUGGUGUGAAUUGCAGAAUCCCGUGAACCAUCGAGUCUUUGAACGCAAGUUGCGCCCGAAGCCAUUAGGUUGAGGGCACGUCUGCCUGGGCGUCUCAC